UCCCUGGCUCAGGAUGAACGCCGGCGGCGUGCUUAACACAUGCAAGUCGAACGAUGAUCCCAGCUUGCUGGGGGAUUAGUGGCGAACGGGUGAGUAACACGUGAGUAACCUGCCCUUAACUCUGGGAUAAGCCUGGGAAACUGGGUCUAAUACCGGAUAUGACUCCUCAUCGCAUGGUGGGGGGUGGAAAGCUUUAUUGUGGUUUUGGAUGGACUCGCGGCCUAUCAGCUUGUUGGUGAGGGUAAUGGCUCACCAAGGCGACGACGGGUAGCCGGCCUGAGAGGGUGACCGGCCACACUGGGACUGAGACACGGCCCAGACUCCUACGGGAGGCAGCAGUGGGGAAUAUUGCACAAUGGGCGAAAGCCUGAUGCAGCGACGCCGCGUGAGGGAUGACGGCCUUCGGGUUGUAAACCUCUUUCAGUAGGGAAGAAGCGAAAGUGACGGUACCUGCAGAAGAAGCGCCGGC
rnacentral:rRNA from 1 species